rnacentral:rRNA from 1 species
AGUGAACGCUGGCGGCAGGCCUAACACAUGCAAGUCGAGCGGCAGCGCGGGUGUAGCAAUACAUCUGGCGGCGAGCGGCGGACGGGUGAGGAAUACAUCGGAAUUUACCCAAUCGUGGGGGAUAACGUAGGGAAACUUACGCUAAUACCGCAUGAACUGGAGACAGCAAAGCGGCGGACCUUCGGGCGUCGCGCGGUUGGAUGAGCCGAUGUCGGAUUAGCUAGUGGCGGGGUAAAGGCCCACCAAGGCGACGAUCCGUAGCUGGUCUGAGAGGAUGAUCAGCCACACUGGAACUGAGACACGGUCCAGACUCCUACGGGAGGCAGCAGUGGGGAAUAUUGGACAAUGGGCGCAAGCCUGAUCCAGCCAUGCCGCGUGUGUGAAGAAGGCC